AAAAUGUAGGAUUUGAGCACACGGAGGAAGUGACAAGGUUUUGAACAAGUGAAAAGUCUUAUGGUUCCUCAUUGCCUUGGCAGAGCUGCCUGUUUGUCAGGCCUGGACCACAGAGAGAGAUGCAGUGGGACAUGGGGAUGCAGCUGCCGGAAUUCUGCUUCUCCACUUGAAUCCUCUCUUAUACAGAUGUGAGAUUGUCUAGGUGAGCUAAGCAAUAUGGAAGCUGUAAAUGUGCAUAAAAUGACUUCAGGGAAAUGAUGACUUUUCGACUGAAUCAUUGAAAAUCUGCCCUAAACAACCAGCAAGUUGUCCUCUGCGGUGACUCACUGAAUUUCUUCUUGAUGAGUCAUGUUAACCACUUCCUGGUGAAAUUGCUCAAAUUGCACUCCGAUCGAGCCAAGAGGGGAGCCAAAAAAUUUUGGCAAGUCUGUUGCUUCCCACCUGACCCGGCACUCCAAAAUCAGAGUGAUGUCCUAAGGCACAGGUUUAUGAUAUGGAUGUACUUUGACUGCUCAUCUGCAAGGCUGCAUCCCCGUUAUAUGGAAACAAGCUCCUCUCUGAUACAGAACAUGAGCACAUGGAAAAAGAAACUUCCCAUUGCUUCUCUCAGGCACACAGACCAACCUCAGUCCGCCGAGGGAGAGAACCACACACAAGUGAGGACACCCGGAGACAGGACUCCUUGAGGCUAUCUUGAAGACCAGUUACCCCAGUUUAUAAAUAUACUUUACAAACCAUUCAUCCGAACCUAAAAACUCCCAUUUAUUUUGUACACGUCCAAAUGUACAUUUUCCCUUGUGAUAUCAAGAACUAAAAUUUCUGGAUAAAACAAGACAUGGCUUUAAAGCUUGUGGAAAAAACAUGUUUUAGGUUCAAGUGAGAGUUUAGAUUGUCUUUGAAAUACAUUUGGCUCAGCCAACUCUGAAAGGUAUAUUGUGCCAAAGUCAAAAUUCCUUUCACUUUAAACUCUAAAGAAUGUUCAGGAAUUUAAGUAGUAUAGCUAUUGUUCACUCAUCAAAUUUUUUCCUUUAUAAGCUACUUCAUGUCCAAAAAUUAUUCAUGUCUGAUUAUGACAAAAGGCCAUGUUUGCUAGGAAUAUAUUGAAUUAUAC
rnacentral:lncRNA from 1 species